rnacentral:rRNA from 1 species
UGGGGAAUAUUGCGCAAUGGGCGAAAGCCUGACGCAGCAACGCCGCGUGAACGAUGAAGCCCUUCGGGGUGUAAAGUUCUUUCGGCAGGAACGAUAAUGACGGUACCUGAAGAAGAAGCUGCGGCUAACUACGUGCCAGCAGCCGCGGUAAUACGUAGGCAGCAAACGUUGUUCGGAGUUACUGGGCGUAAAGAGUACGUAGGCGGUUUGCCAAGUUUGGUGUGAAAUCUCCUGGCUUAACUGGGAGGGUGCGCCGAAUACUGGCAGACUUGAGUAUUGGAGAGGAAAGCGGAAUUCCUGGUGUAGCGGUGAAAUGCGUAGAUAUCAGGAGGAACACCGGUGGUGUAGACGGCUUUCUGGACAAUCACUGACGCUGAGGUACGAAAGCGUGGGUAGCAAACAGGAUUAGAUACCCAAGUAGUCCCUGAGCGGGCUGGCAAGGCGCAU